rnacentral:rRNA from 1 species
CGACGUCAAAUCAUCAUGCCCCUUAUGACCUGGGCUACACACGUACUACAAUGGCAGUCAUACAGAGGGAAGCAAUAUGGUGACAUGGAGCAAACCCCUAAAAGCUGUCCCAGUUCAGAUUGCAGGCUGCAACCCGCCUGCAUGAAGUCGGAAUUGCUAGUAAUCGCGGAUCAGCAUGCCGCGGUGAAUACGUUCCCGGGCCUUGUACACACCGCCCGUCACACCAUGAGAGCCGGUAAUACCCGAAGUCCGUAGCCGAACCGCAAGGAGGGCGCGGCCGAAGGUAGGACUGGUAAUUAGGGUGAAGUCGUAACAAGGUAGCCGUAUCGGAAGGUGCGGCUGGAUCACCUCCUUUCUAAGGAGA